AGAAAAGUGCAAAUAUCACAACGGAUGCAAAUACUCCAAAAUCCAGUAAAUUAAAGUGUGAAGUAUUACAAAGUCAGACACAAACACUUCAAGACUCUGUUAUUGAAGUAUUGAAUCAUAAAGAAUCAAGAAAAAUCAUGUACAGUGACAUUCAAAGGAAGAAUUAACAGAAUAGCAACAUAGUGAACUCUUCCAAACAGAUUGACUCCAGGAACAGACAGGGUUAUCAUUUUCCAUAGCAAUAAACCAAGUAGAUGAAUAUCACAUUUAUAACAUAUAAUUCCUGAAUUUACAAAUAAUUGUUUAGUUCAGAGCCGACAUAAAUGUCUUUGGGGUGCUUUAAGCCACUGAGAUCUUUCAUUAAUUGUAGUGAACUUCCAAACUCAGUACAUUUUACUCCAUGGAAAUCGUCUCAAAUGGUCAUGGAGUAUAUAGUCUUUUAUUAUGAAGAAAACUUAGUGCAUUAGAAACAAACCACGCAACUUUUAAUAUCCUUUUUCAGGGGCAGAUCCAGGAGGUUAUGAAAGAGGGGGCCGAACUUUUUGAAUUAGUUUGAAAAC